rnacentral:misc_RNA from 1 species
GAUGAAGAACGUAGUGAAAUGCGAUAAGUAAUGUGAAUUGCAGAAUUCAGUGAAUCAUCGAAUCUUUGAACGCACAUUGCGCCCCCUGGAAUUCCGGGGGGCAUGCCUGUUCGAGCGUCUCAGGGACGAACCCUCGCGCGGGUGUACGCGCGGUCGUGGCUGCGGUGGCGUGCCCGAGGCGGCGGCCACCGCGCUGGAAUCCAUGGGCGGACGCCUGCCGCGUGGCCGAGCGUGAUAUGACGCAUUGGCGCUCGCACGCGGCGAGGCUGCCAGCCCUGGCCCGUCUGUCGGGCGGGGGAGAGCAAGACACGUGAACUCCUCGAAUCAGGUAGGGAUACCCGCUGAACUUAAGCAUAUCAAUAAGCGGAGGA